rnacentral:rRNA from 1 species
UACGGAGGGGGGCUAGCGUUGUUCGGAAUUACUGGGCGUAAAGCGCACGUAGGCGGACUGUUAAGUCGGGGGUGAAAUCCUGGAGCUCAACUCCAGAACUGCCUUCAAUACUGGCAAUCUCGAGUCCGGAAGAGGUAAGUGGAACUCCUAGUGUAGAGGUGGAAUUCGUAGAUAUUAGGAAGAACACCAGUGGCGAAGGCGGCUUACUGGUCCGGUACUGACGCUGAGGUGCGAAAGCGUGGGGAGCAAACAGG